rnacentral:rRNA from 1 species
GUAAACCAAGGCAGUUCCUAAACCCACUGCUCGCCAGAGAACUACAAGUAAAAACUUAAAACUCAAAGGACUUGACGGCAUACCAUAUCACCCUAGAGGAGCCUGUCCUAUAAUCGAUAACCCACGCUACACCUCACCUGUUCUUGCACUAUGCUCAGCCUAUAUACCGCCGCCUUCAGCCCGCCUUACAAAAGCACAAACAGCGAGCAAAACAGCCACCACUAACACGCCAGGUCAAGGUGUAGCCAACGAACAGGAAGAGAUGGGCUACAUUUUCUAACUUAGACAACACCGACAGCAACAUGAAACACCCGCCUAAAGGUGGAUUUAGAAGUAAGCCAGGCAAGAUAUGCCUGACUGAACCUAG